CCAUCUAUUUGAAAACAAACCACUUUUGAUUGGUUGGAGCACAGCAAGUUAUUUGGAGCACAGGAAGUUAUUUUUGUAAACAAUUUGGUUUCAGCAACUUAAAUUGAGCUAAAUUUUUAGGUAUAAUUCAGCAACAUUAAUUCUAGUGUCAAAUGUCUUGAAAUUCUUUCAGCACAUGAACUAUUGUGUGAUGAAAACAAUGUGUAUUUACUACAAUGUGUAAAUCAACAAUAAGUUUGUUGCAAAGAAGAUUCAAAGUGGGUGGUUAAAGUGAUCAACAACUGCCGUUUUUGUUUUUUUGGAAUGCUGAAGAACAGCUGUAACAGGUUAAACCCCAAGGUGAAAUUUACAUUGAUCGGAAGAUCCAUUGGACAGAAUGUGCAUCAUCGCCUGCCAAAAAAGGGAGCAAAAAGGGGACUACCUGAUGUAUGGACAUGUAUACCAGGCCAACUUGAGGGGAACAGGAGUGGGAAACCGUGCCCUGUAGCUUGUCCUUGACCAAGAAAAGAUGGAUUUGUUGAGAGGACCUGAUCUCAAAUGAGAUCAUGCACGAGAAGCGCCUCGCAGACCAUGACAGUAGUAUUCAGACCUGAUCAGCUGGUGAAGUGCUCUAUAAAGGGUUGUUUAUGAAUGCAUUCUUUGUAAGGAACAGUGUAUAACAACAAAUAUAGUGACAGGGGCUAAGCUGCUAAAUAUUGUCAGCAUGUAUGCAGUGAU